rnacentral:rRNA from 1 species
GACGAACGCUGGCGGCGUGCCUAAUACAUGCAAGUCGAGCGGACCGGAUUGGGGCUUGCCUUGAUUCGGUCAGCGGCGGACGGGUGAGUAACACGUGGGCAACCUGCCCGCAAGACCGGGAUAACUCCGGGAAACCGGAGCUAAUACCGGAUAACACCGAAGACCGCAUGGUCUUCGGUUGAAAGGCGGCCUUUGGGCUGUCACUUGCGGAUGGGCCCGCGGCGCAUUAGCUAGUUGGUGAGGUAACGGCUCACCAAGGCGACGAUGCGUAGCCGGCCUGAGAGAGGGACCGGCCACACUGAGACUGAGACACGGCCCAGACUCCUACGAGAGGCAGCAGUAGGGUAUCUUCCGCAAUGGGCGAGAGCCUGACGGAGCGACGCCGCGGGAGCGAAGAAGGCCUUCGGGUCGUAAAGCUCUGUUGUGAGGGACGAAGGAGCGUCGUUCGAAGAGGGCGGCGCGGUGACGGUACCUCACGAGAAAGCCCCGGCUAACUACGUG